rnacentral:lncRNA from 1 species
GAAGCCUCUAGCCUUUGCUAGUUGGCGGGGUUAAGCCUCUAGCCUUUGCUAGUUGGCGGGGGAUGGGAAAACGAAGCCUCUAGCCUCAUCUACAGUCUUAAAUUGCAUGCAUUUUAGUUUUAGUAUUUAGAAAAUACAAAUAUAAGUUGAGAAUUAAGAUUGAAGUAUGUGAAAUAUAGCCUCUAGCCUUUGCUAGUUGGCGGGGUGAAGCCUCUAGCCUUUGCUAGUUGGCGGGGUGAAGCCUCUAGCCUUUGCUAGUUGGCGGGGUUAAGCCUCUAGCCUUUGCUAGUUGGCGGGGUGAAGCCUCUAGCCUUUGCUAGUUGGCGGGGUGAAGCCUCUAGCCUUUGCUAGUUGGCGGGGAGAAUGGAAAUCACCGCUAUCUUGUGAUAGCCUUGGGUUAAUCUUAGUUUUAACAUAAUUUUAAGUCUUAACUUGCAUGCAAUUUACUUAAUAGGUGACACUUCCCCAUCGGUAGGGGAAAUGCACAAGGUAUUUUGCAUCAAAGAGGGUGUAUCACCCUUGGAGAUGCUGGGAAGUGGAGAUAUUCUUGAGAAAUUCAAGAGUUUUUUACUUCUCUACUCUACUAAGUAUCUUUAAGAGUGAGAGACUCUCAUAGAUACUGUAGAGUACAACAUUCACGCCUGGCGGUCCUUAGUUUAGUGAUAAGUUCAAUCUAUGAUUAGCAACUAUUUAUCAUCAUUUUUUGAUACUUUAAAAUUAGAGAUAUUCUUGAGAAAUUCAAGGGUUCUCUAAUGAGUAUCAUUGAGAGUAAGAAACUCUUAUUGAUACUGUCUUGUACAAACAUACACUCCUGUUGAUUCAGGUAUUCUCUUAGUUCAGUCCAAGUUAAGAUUUGUAACUGUUUAUCUACAUUAUAUAAAAUUGCUUUGUUUUGUAAGUGCUUUACAAGUUUGUUGCAGCUUAGCCUACCAAAUGAAUCCAAGUGCACCAUUGUAGAUAUUUUUUAAAAGCAGGAUUGAUGAACAACUAAACAAACAAUAUUGUGGAGAUACAUGUGAAUUAUAAUGGAGAUGCCACCAGCUAUUCAAUGCAUUGGAGAGCAGCUCUACUACCAAAGUGGAGAUGUGGAUCACUGGAUGUGGUAUGAGAUAUCUGGAAUUUAUAUUUUCAGUAGUCUAGACAGGAUAGAAUUCUCUAACACUUCCCUAUUCUAACACAGAUAUCAAGCUAGGGCCGGGAUGUUUAUGGUGGUUACUAUUAUGACACAGUUCAUCCCGACCCUUCGGCAGUGCCAUGUUCUAUCCGGUUGGUUCUGAGUCCAAUGGGUGCUUUCAAGUUAGAGUCAACUGACCUGCAGAUCGCAUUUCCGCGUGCCAACAACUGGACGAACAUGUGCUACUGUUAGAUUGUGGUUUAUGGAUGGCUGUGGAGUAAGAAAAUCACCUUGAAUAGGGUUUGAGUUGUCAGGGUCCCUGUAGGAUAUUUGCAGUUGUCAGUCGACUAUUACAUUUCUGAUCAGUGCCCUUUGUGGUGGUGCCACAGCUUUUUCAUGAUGGUUGCGGGCUCAGUACAGCACUAAUUUGAUGAGCAGGUGGUACUGUUACACUGUGGCCUGGUCUGACUUGUUCUAUGAGACUGGCGAUGCAAAUAUUAGAUUGUAGUGCCUUCAGCAAACUUAGGGAUGGGGGUGUGAGAAUUAUCUGUCUUAAGAAUUAGAAUUAAGAAAAAUACGUUUAUAUCUGAGGCUGGAGUGAUAUUAAGUAUAGUCUCUAGCCUUUGCUAGUUGGCGGGGUGAAGCCUCUAGCCUUUGCUAGUUGGCGGGGAAGG